CUUCACUCGGCGGCGGCGCACGCGCCCCGCGGCUGGACCUGGUGCUGGGGCGGCUGGUGCGGCCUGGCUCUCCCCCGCCGUGGGGGCUCGGCUCCAUGGCCGCCGUGUUCCUCGUCACGCUCUACGAGUACUCGCCGCUUUUCUACAUCACCGUGGUGUUCGUCUGCUUCCUCGUCACCAGCGGCCUGGUGCUGGGCUGGUUUGGGUUGGGUGUUCCUGUUAUUCUGAGAAACUCAGAAGAAGCAGAAUCCAGCACAAGAGUUUUGAAAAAGCGGAUGAGACAAGUGAAGAAUCCUUUUGGGUUAGAAAUCCCUCAUCCUGCUACAGCUUCAGUAACAAAGGGUAUAACACUGACACCUGAUUGUCUGGAAGACUGUAUUCUUACAUGCUACUGGGGCUGCAGUGUUCAAAAACUCCAUGAAGCAUUGCAGAAACACGUCUACUGCUUCAGAAUAAAGACUCCUCAGGCAUUAGAGGAUGCUCUAUACAGCGAAUACCUCUAUCAACAACAGUACUUCAUUAAAAAAAAUGACAAGGAAGAAAAAUAUUGUCAGUUACCAGAAGAUGCUCAAGUUGUCGAUUUUGGCCCAGUGCCUAGAUCUCGCUAUCCGUUGAUAGCAUUGUUGACGUUAGCUGAUGAAGAAGACAGAGAAAUAUAUGAUAUUAUUUCAAUGGUGGCUGUAAUUCACAUUCCUGAUGAGAGCUACAGACUUUCCUGCAGAAUAUUAUAUCAGUAUCUACUUCUAGCUCAAGGUCAAUACCAUGAUCUGAAGCAACUCUUCAUGUCUGCAGAUAGUACUGCGCCGUCUCCAAGCGCUGAGUCCCCUGGUGAGAGAAGCACUGACAGAAGCUUGCUAGAAAAGGCUGGACUGGCUGAAGAUGAACCAGAAUUGCAUGAAGAAAACAGCAAAGACUGUGUUGUUUGCCAGAAUGGCACAGUGAACUGGGUACUCCUGCCCUGCAGGCAUGCCUGCUUGUGUGAUGGUUGCAUUAAGUAUUUUCAGCAGUGUCCAAUGUGUAGGCAGUUUGUUCAAGAAUCUUUUCCACUUUGCAGUAAAAAGGAGCAAGAUGAAGAUGACUCGACCCAUAUCUUGCAAGAUGUUCUUCCUGGAAGAGUUUUUUAAUGUGAGGGAACAAAAAUAAAAGAACCGGGUUGUGUGCACCACAAUUAAAUGUAGAAAACAGACUGUUUAUGGGAGGAUAUGUAGCAUUAAGUUGUCUGGUUUUGCUUUUUAUUGUUAGGUAAUUUUCAGCUUCCUUAUUUGUCUUUACUCCAUAUGCUCACAGGAACACUACGUUUAUCCGUGCAAUGUGGACAGAAGAAGUGCGUAGGAUAUCUUUGAAGGAUGCGAUUUUAUUUAUAACUUACUAGUUUUUCAUGGAGUACUAUUGGAGGCUAUUUUGAUUACUAAAUUUAGUAUAUCUACUAAAAAAAGAAUAAAACUUGCAAGUGAAGUUGCACACAGCUCAUUCUAUAUUUAUUGUAUUUAAAAUACUAGAGCGGAAUAUCGUUUUAACUCAGUAUAAUUUAGAAACGUAGCACUUUACAGACUGUAUCAAAUUAUUCUUCAUUGUUAAGCCCGUAUAUAUUUAUUUUGUAGAUGAAGGCUGGACUGUGGCAGGAGCUGGGAGUUGAAGGCGUGAUUCAGGAUACUGUUUCUGGCUGUUUUGAGAGAUUGUGUGUGUGCAUGCAUGCGUGUGUGUGUGAGGGACCUUAGCCAAAGCCCGUUGGAACGAGUGGAAGGAUUUUUGUUGAUUGCUGUUGGCUUGAGCGAAAUGUUGCUGACACUUUCAAGCCUGAGCCUCUGCUGCGUCAUCUUGAGACACAGACUUUCAGUCUUGUUAGCACUGGCUGUAAGAACUUGCUCUCCAUGCACAUGUUCAUUAAUUACUCGAUAGAGUAGUUACUUGGGCAGUUUUGUGGUGCUAUUCUUACAUGAGAGUAGGCUGCUUUGGGGAAUUUCCAACUCUUUACUUGCAUUGUCAGCUUGGCUACAGAGUUAACCAUUUACCUUUUAUCAGUUGUCCCAGGGAAUUUACUUACUCUAAUAGAAGCUAAAGAAUAGCAGAAAAUGAUUUCUUUUUCCCUCCAAUGGUGUAUUGUCAAAAGCAAUAAAGAUGGCUGUUGAGAAGAGAAAUUGUUGGUUUGCUUCUUGAGAGAGAGAUAAGUCUUAUAAAGAGAGAUGGGCUGGGUUUCACAUCUGCUUAUGUAAGACAAAAAUACAAACGCUCAUUAGAACCUGUAGAAAAUGGGGAGUAGCUGCUUUCUGUCCUCCCUCUUGUUCCCUUGCAGCUUUGCCCCACAUCCAAUUCCAGGACAGCUGCUCCAUCUCAGGGAGAGAAAGCCGUGCUCCAAGCUAUUCAGCUGCACUCCCCAGCUCCUGUAAUGAUGCUGCACACCUCCAAACCACGGAAGGAAGCUUCCCCUUACUCAAAGGUAUUCCAUCUUCAUCUUUCCAUCGUUCUUUUUUUUUUUUUUGGUUUAUUUUGCCAUGACCUUGCUUCCAAACUUCUGGUGAUUGCCUCGGAGGAAAAGAUUUAGGUGGUGGUGGUGGAAAGAGCAAUGCUUACUUAUAAAGGCAGAGGUUGGGAAUUGAUGGAUGUAGCCACAGAUUUCCAGCCAGUGACCAGUAGGCUGUUUGUAAUACAACUUAUUUAGUCUACGUAAAGUGACCUUCCUUGCCAGGGACAACUUUGGAAUAAACUGCUGGCCAAAUCAGCCUUUUGUUUGCACUGUAUAUCAAACAGGAAUUAAAUACCUGGGUGUCUCCAGGGACUGAUCAGUGCUUGCAAGAGAACUUUGGAAGACAGAUGUUUCGGUGUGGAAAUCAUUAUGGCAAAGAGUGGUGUAUGUGCUGCAAUUCAGGAGGCUGAGAACAGCAAGUGGAGAGUAGAGAAGAAUGUAAUAGCAGAAGGAAUAAGUGAUGGUGGCAGCAAGGCCAUACCUCAGACACUCUUGAGUUUGGAGGCAGUGAGACCCCAGAGAUCUACUGGGGUCACAAUGCAUCAGUCUUCUGCCACCGGAAUUGACUGUGAGAUACAGAUGUUCUGUGGCUUCUUAGCUGGUCAGUGCAGCACAGACACCAUGCUCGAAGGUAUUUGAUUUUUGUCUCCAGUUCCUGAGGCUUCUCGAUUUCGAGGAUUUGCCCUGGAGGGAAGGAGCCUAGAGUGCAAGCUCAAAAUGCACCAGCUUGCAGGAAGCCUGGGGUGGGAUAUUGCUGGCAGUGAGGCCGAGGAUAAUUACAGCAAGCGGGGAGCCCCGAGGGAGUCAAGGCACUGUGUUUUCUCAUGCGGCUGAGCCGCUUGCCAAGGUUAGCAGACCCCUUUCUAUGGCAGCACAUUUCAUUGAUCAAAGUAAGAGCAGGGCAGCGAUUUACAGCAUAUGACAGCUUGAAAAGCAAUGCUUUUCACCAGGCGGUGCCAUACACGGAGACAAGAUUGACAACCCAGCUGCUGCCUUUCUUUUGAAAGCCGGCUUCUUCCUAGGUGGUCAGUACCAGACUCUGGCUGGAGCGUCUGCAGCAUCAUCCAAACCCUCCUCCGCUGGGACAGCUUGAAUGACACAAGAAGUUACCUUUACCUUUCGCUAUAGGGCCAAAAGAAGGAUGUUUGCCAAGAGCCGGUGGAUUCACAUUUAAGAAUGGCUAUAGCUUUUCCAGUCUCUCAAUCUUUAAGUAUCUUCCCAGAGACAUGAAAAUGUGUAAAUAAGUCUGCCAGCUCCAAAACCCUUUUAGCGCCAACUUUUGAACAAAAAUG